rnacentral:rRNA from 1 species
CCUACGGGUGGCAGCAGUGAGGAAUAUUGGUCAAUGGGCGGAAGCCUGAACCAGCCAAGUAGCGUGCAUGAUGACGGCCCUCCGUGUUGUAAACUGCUUUUGUACGGGAGUAACAAGACGUACGCUGACGACUUUGCAUGUGCUAAAUCCGUGACGGCAGCCGAGGUAAUACGGAGGGGGCGAGCGUUAUCCGAAUUUACGGGGUGUAUAGGGAGCGUAGAGGGUUGUGCAAGUCUGAAGUGAAAGGUCCGGGCUCAACCCUGGGCUUGUAAUGGAAACUGGGGAGCUUGAGUGCUGGGGAGGCAGGUGGAAUGCGUGGUGUAGCGGUGAAAUGCUUAGAUAUGACGAAGAACCCCGAUGGCGAAGGCAGCUUACUGCAGAGGAACUGACGCUGAUGCUCGAAAGCGUGGGUAUCAAACAGGAUUAGAUACCCCAGUAGUC